UACGUAGGGGGCUAGCGUUGUCCGGAUUUAUUGGGCGUAAAGAGCGUGUAGGCGGCCAUGUAGGUCCGGUGUGAAAACUCGAGGCUUAACCUCGAGAUGUCAUCGGAAACCAUUUGGCUAGAGUCCGGAAGAGGAGAGUGGAAUUCCUGGUGUAGCGGUGAAAUGCGCAGAUAUCAGGGAGAACACCAAUGGCGAAAGCAGCUCUCUGGGACGGUACUGACGCUGAGACGCGAAAGCGUGGGGAGCGAACAGG
rnacentral:rRNA from 1 species